UUAGUGGCGGACGGGUGAGUAACGCGUGGAAAACCUGCCGUAUACUGGGGGAUAACACUUAGAAAUAGGUGCUAAUACCGCAUAAGCGCACAGCUUCGCAUGAAGCGGUGUGAAAAACUCUGGUGGUAUACCGAUGGUUCCGCGUCUGAUUAGCUAGUUGUGGGGUAAUGGCCUACCAAGGCAACGAUCAGUAGCCGGCCUGAGAGGGUGAACGGCCACAUUGGGACUGAGACACGGCCCAAACUCCUACGGAAGGCAGCAG
rnacentral:rRNA from 1 species